AUGGUGAUCAUCGAGGAGACCUCCAUCGAGGUGGACCCUGAGGACGUAUCGUCGCAUAAAAACCUCAACAACGAGCAGAGGAAGGCCUACGAUGAAAUCCUAGCCACGGUUGACCGCCAAAGAGGAGGUAUAUUAUUUGUCGAUGGGCCGGGAGGCACAGGAAAAACUUUUCUUUACAUGGCGCUUUUGGCCACAGUGCGCGGACAAGGCAAGAUUGCUGUGGCGACGGCCACUUCCGGUGUUGCUGCUUCCAUAAUGCCUGGAGGGAGAACCGCACACUCGAGGUUUAAGAUUCCACUAAAAAUAGACAAUGGAGCUAUUUGUAGCUUCACAAAACAAAGUGGGACAGCAAAGCUACUCCAAAGCAUCACUAAUAAUCUGGGAUGA
rnacentral:rRNA from 1 species